rnacentral:rRNA from 1 species
AGUGAACGCUGGCGGUAUGCCUAACACAUGCAAGUCGAACGGCAGCACAGUAAGAGCUUGCUCUUACGGGUGGCGGGUGGCGGACGGGUGAGGAAUACAUCGGAAUCUACUUUUUCGUGGGGGAUAACGUAGGGAAACUUACGCUAAUACCGCAUACGACCUACGGGUGAAAGCAGUGGAUCUUCGGACCUUGCGCGACUGAAUGAGCCGAUGUCGGAUUAGCUAGUUGGCGGGGUAAAGGCCCACCAAGGCGACGAUCCGUAGCUGGUCUGAGAGGAUGAUCAGCCACACUGGAACUGAGACACGGUCCAGACUCCUACGGGAGGCAGCAGUGGGGAAUAUUGGACAAUGGGCGCAAGCCUGAUCCAGCCAUGCCGCGUGGGUGAAGAAGGCCUUCGGGUUGUAAAGCCCUUUUGUUGGGAAAGAAAAGCAGCAGGUUAAUACCCCGCUGUUCUGACGGUACCCAAAGAAUAAGCACCGGCUAACUUCGUG